rnacentral:ncRNA from 1 species
UGGACGUCGACCGGCGCACGGGUGAGUAACGCGUAUCCAACCUUCCCAUUACUGUGGGAUAACCUGCCGAAAGGCAGACUAAUACCGCAUAGUCUUCGAUGACGGCAUCAGAUUUGAAGUAAAGAUUUAUCGGUAAUGGAUGGGGAUGCGUCUGAUUAGCUUGUUGGCGGGGUAACGGCCCACCAAGGCAACGAUCAGUAGGGGUUCUGAGAGGAAGGUCCCCCACAUUGGAACUGAGACACGGUCCAAACUCCUACGGGAGGCAGCAGUGAGGAAUAUUGGUCAAUGGACGGAAGUCUGAACCAGCCAAGUAGCGUGCAGGAUGACGGCCCUAUGGGUUGUAAACUGCUUUUGUAUGGGGAUAAAGUCAAUCACGUGUGAUUGUUUGCAGGUACCAUACGAAUAAGGACCGGCUAAUUCCGUGCCAGCAGCCGCGGUAAUACGGAAGGUUCGGGCGUUAUCCGGAUUUAUUGGGUUUAAAGGGAGCGUAGGCCGGAGAUUAAGUGUGUUGUGAAAUGUAGACGCUCAACGUCUGACUUGCAGCGCAUACUGGUUUCCUUGAGUACGCACAACGUUGGCGGAAUUCGUCGUGUAGCGGUGAAAUGCUUAGAUAUGACGAAGAACUCCGAUUGCGAAGGCAGCUGACGGGAGCGCAACUGACGCUGAAGCUCGAAGGUGCGGGUAUCAAACAGGAUUAGAUACCCUGGUAGUCCGCACAGUAAACGAUGGAUGCCCGCUGUUGGUCCAUUAGGGUCAGCGGCCAAGCGAAAGCAUUAAGCAUCCCACCUGGGG